ACCUGCCAAAACGUUUCCUAAGGCCCUGACUGGCAGAAAAACCAGUGGUGGGGCAGUGCACAGGCGGAUCUGCCUGGUGGGAAGACAGGCUCAUCCCAGGAAAAUCAGCCCGGCUCAAACUCCGUUCGUAUUUCAUCAAUAAGAUACCCAAAUGCAAAUUCCACCAGCAAGAUCAACCAACACCUCGGGAUCACACCGCUGCUGAACAGAACUCACAAUUUGGCAAGCUUCGGCGUGAGAGCAAGCUUCCUUUUAUGUACAGCAAACUCCGACUACUUAGAAUGUUUGUUUGGGAGUUAAAGGGACGCCUGGUGUUUUUCUGUUUCAUAACAAUUACCACGUACAACAUGACCAGACAAAAACCAAACUGCGCUCCAAGUGAAUUCCAUCUUUCUGAUGAGUCCGCCUCGCCAUGGGAAUCAUGAUUAUCAAUGCCAGAUUUUUUUGUGUGUGAGUCGAUGUUAUUGUUUAUAUUUUAAAUUAAUGCAUAGAUUCCAGAUAUGGGUUCUGAAAAGAGGUGGUCCGGAGCGGUCCAAACCUUUGGGUGGUACUGUCCUCAUUCGUUACACAGGGUGUUCGAUUUCAACUAGGAUGAAGAUCAGACCUUCAUGGGGUGGCCACAAGGCACUGUUCUGAUGGCACUCGUGCGACACAUUCCCAGUAUGACGGCAAAAACCACUGGUUGGGAAUAAAGAGACAGCGAGCACAGCUGAGGUCCAAAGAGCUAAAUGACACACAAAUAGAGCAGUACAAAGCCAGCUCCUUUUCCAGCUCCAUGAAGGACAGCCAGACCUGCUCUGUGUUACAUGUUAUGGGCCACCCGUGAAACAACAUGGCACAGUGGACCGCUCCAUCCCGAUCAGUCCUUUGAAUAAACAGCUCAGACGCGGUGAUGCUGCGUGUUCAGAGCCCCGCCCACUUCUACCCCAAUGGGACUGCGCCCUGGGGCAGGACAGCCACCUCUAUCUCUGCUUCUUUGGGUCUGACUCUCUGUGCUUCUGACUGGAAAGCUGUGUUUGACCCAUCGGACCAUUCAGUUCUUCAAACCCCGAUGUGGCCCAGAGUGAGUCCUGAAGGUGGAAAACGUGGACCCAGACACGGCCACUCACUAGCCAGGGUAGGUGAUGUGGUUUGAAGAGACUGGACUUCCUUUUCUCGCUCUGGAACUCACUUGCUGAGUAAACUUGGGCUACUCACUUCUUACCCUUGAAUUUCCCCUGUGUAAAAAAAAAACGUGGGAAAACACAGUCUAGCUACCUCUCGGGGGUGGUAUGAAGAUACCCAACUGAUGUUCUAGACUGCAUGGCCCUAGGACAGCACCGUGUGCCCUGUGCGACCAGCCAUUAAAACAGUCUGUGGCUGAUUACGGGCACACACACACCCACAUUUCUUACCAAAAAAAUAUUAAAAACCACAAACAAACAAGGGAUUAAUUCUGUUCUUAUUUGAGGGGAAUUUCACAAAAUGUCAUAUUAAAACAUUAACAUUCUGAUACCUAAAUUCCACUGAAUGUAGUGGAGGAAUGUCGUAAAAUUUAGUAAUGGUAAUACCCCAAUCUGCCUGUUCUUUAAGGAGAGAAAGAACUUAACCAGAUGGUUAAUUAAUCAAAUAUAUUCGCUGGAACAAAUCUAGUCACUAAUCUCAUUCUGUUUUAAAUUUAGUUUGAGAAUACUGUAAAAAUGCCAUCAUUGUGCAUCUGUGGAAUGCUUCAGUUUGUCAGUUAUUACAGUUCCUCAGGUACAAAAUGACCCGCUAGAAUACACACACACACACACACACACACACACACA